AACGUUAUUGAAAGAAAUUGAAGAAGACUUAAAUAAAUGGAAAGAUAUCCCAUAUUUGUGGUUUGGAAGACUUAGUAUUGUUAAGGUGGCAAUGUCAUGUAUUAGCCAAAGCCAU